rnacentral:rRNA from 1 species
AUAAGACAUGCGAGUCGAGCGUCUCUAGCUAUGUUGAGACGCGGCAGACGGCUCAGUAACACGUGGCUAACCUACCCUCAGGGCAAGGAUAAACCCGGGAAACUGGGGCUAAUACUUGAUAGGCGAAGAUGCCUGGAAUGGUUUUUCACCUAAAGGGCUUUAGAAACAUGCUUCUAAAGUCGCCUGAGGAUGGGGCCGCGUCCGAUCAGGUUGUUGGUGAGGUAACGGCUCACCAAGCCUAUAACCGGUACGGGCCGUGAGAGCGGUAGCCCGGAGAUGGGUACUGAGACAAGGACCCAGGCCCUACGGGGCGCAGCAGUCGCGAAAACUCCGCAAUGCACGAAAGUGUGACGGGGCUACCCCGAGUGCCAUCCGCUGAGGAUGGCUUUUCUUUGGUAUAACUAGCCGGGGGAAUAAGGAGAGGGCAAGACUGGUGUCAGCCGCCGCGGUAAUACCAGCUCUCCGAGUGGUAGGGAUGAUUAUUGGGCUUAAAGCGUCCGUAGCCGGCUUAGCAAGUCUCCUGUUAAACUCAGCGACCUAAUCGUUGAAUCGCGGGAGAUACUACUAGGCUAGGAGGCGGGAGAGGUCGACGGUACUUCUGGGGUAGGGGUGAAAUCCUAUAAUCCCGGGAGGACCACCAGUGGCGAAGGCUGUCGACUAGAACGCGCUCGACGGUGAGGGACGAAAGCUGGGGGAGCGAACCGGAUUAGAUACCCGGGUAGUCCCAGCCGUAAACGACGCGGGCUAGGUGUUGGAAUGGCUACGUGCCAUUUCAGUGCCGCAGGGAAGCCAUUAAGCCCGCCGCCUGGGGAGUACGGCCGCAAGGCUGAAACUUAAAGGAAUUGGCGGGGGAGCACCACAAGGCGUGAAGCUUGCGGUUCAAUUGGAUUCAACGCCGGAAAUCACU